GGUCCAAUACUGGUCAAAACUAGUGCACUACAUAGGGAUUAGGGUGCCAUACUGGUCAAAACUAGUGCACUACAUAGGGAUUAGGGGUCCAAUACUGGUCAAAACUAGUGCACUACAUAGGGAUUAGGGGUGCCGUACUGGUCAAAACUAGUGCACUACAUAGGGAUUAGGGUGCCAUUUUGAAUACAACCAAUGUAACAACACACCAUGUGUUUAUUAGUAGUCAUCGCUGUAGGAACCUCUGUUCUCGUUAUUCCUCCAAGAGGAACUGUUCGUUUAAGAUGACACGCUCUAGUCUGAUCCCAGGUCUGUUUCUGAUCUCUUGACAACUACAUUGGUGUCCUUGUUAUGACAAUUCCAUAGGCUGACUGGCACCCAGGCUGGCACCCAGGCUAAACUUACUGGCACCCAGGCUAAACUGACUGGCACCCAGGCUAAACAGACUGACACCCAGGCUAAACUGACUGGCACCCAGGCUAAACUGACUGGCACCCAGGCUAAACAGACUGGCACCCAGGCUAAACUGACUGGCACCCAGGCUAAACAGACUGGCACCCAGGCUAAACUGACUGGCACCCAGGCUAAACUGACUGGCACCCAGGCUAAACUGACUGGCACCCAGGCU
rnacentral:lncRNA from 1 species